CCGAUGUCAGAUUAGGCUUAGUUGGUGGGGUAAAGGCUCACAUCAAGCCAACGAUCUGUAGCCUGGUCUGAGAGGACGACCAGCCACUAACUGGGACUGAGACACGGCCCAGACUCCUACGGGAGGCAGCAGUGGGGAAUUUUGGACAAUGGGCGCAAGCCUGAUCCAGCAAUGCCGCGUGCAGGAAGAAGGCCUUCGGGUUGUAAACUGCUUUUGUACGGAACGAAACGGUCCUGGCUAAUAUCCGGGGCUAAUGACGGUACCGUAAGAAUAAGCACCGGCUAACUACGUGCCAGCAGCCGCGGUAAUACGUAGGGUGCGAGCGUUAAUCGGAAUUACUGGGAUUCGUAAAGCGUGCGCAGGCGUGUGCUGUAAGA
rnacentral:rRNA from 1 species